AACAAACGCUGGCGGCGUGCCUAAUACAUGCAAGUCGAACGGGGAAAGCUUUCGGGUGAGUACUAGUGGCGCACGGGUGAGUAACGCGUGGAUAAUCUGCCUCAGAGUGGGGGAUAACUAGUCGAAAGAUUAGCUAAUACCGCAUAAGACCACAAGAACUGCGGUUCAAGGGGUCAAAGGUUUUUCGCUCUAAGAUGAGUCCGCGUAAGAUUAGCUAGUUGGUGGGGUAAUGGCUCACCAAGGCGACGAUCUUUAACUGGUCUGAGAGGAUGAUCAGUCACACUGGAGCUGAGACACGGUCCAGACUCCUACGGGAGGCAGCAGUAGGGAAUAUUGCACAAUGGAGGAAACACUGAUGCAGCGACGCCGCGUGAGUGAUGAAGGCCUUCGGGUCGUAAAGCUCUGUCGCAAGGGAAUAACACAAUGAAUGUACCUUGCAAGAAAGGAUCGGCUAACUUCGUGCCAGCCGCCGCCGUAACAC
rnacentral:rRNA from 1 species